UGGACGGGAAUAACCUCGGGAAACUGAGAAUAAUGCCCGAUAGAACAUUAUACCUGGAACGGUUUAUGUUUCAAAUGAUUUAUCGCCGUAGGAUGGGACUGCGGCCUAUCAGUUUGUUGGUGAGGUAAUGGCCCACCAAGGCUAUUACAGGUACGGGCUCUGAGAGGAGUAGCCCGGAGAUGGGUACUGAGACACGGACCCAGGCCCUAUGGGGCGCAGCAGGCGAGAAAACUUUGCAAUGUGCGAAAGCACGACAAGGUUAAUCCGAGUGGUUUCUGCUAAAGAAACCUUUUGCUAGUCCUAGAAACACUAGUGAAUAAGGGGUGGGCAAGUUCUGGUGUCAGCCGCCGCGGUAAAACCAGCACCUCAAGUGGUCAGGAUGAUUAUUGGGCCUAAAGCAUCCGUAGCUCGUUUUGUAAGUUUUCGGUUAAAUCCAUACGCUCAACGUAUGGGCUGCCGGGAAUACUGCAUAACUAGGAAGUGGGAGAGGUAGACGGUACUCGGUAGGAAGGGGUAAAAUCCUUUGAUCUAUUGAUGACCACCUGUGGCGAAGGCGGUCUACCAGAACACGUUCGACGGUGAGGGAUGAAAGCUGGGGGAGCAAACCGGAUUAGAUACCCGGGUAGUCCCAGCUGUAAACUAUGCAAACUCAGUGAUGCAUUGGCUUGUGGCCAAUGCAGUGCUGCAGGGAAGCCGUUAAGUUUGCCGCCUGGGAAGUACGUACGCAAGUAUGAAACUUAAAGGAAUUGGC
rnacentral:rRNA from 1 species